rnacentral:rRNA from 1 species
UGGGGAAUCUUAGACAAUGGGGGAAACCCUGAUCUAGCCAUGCCGCGUGAGCGAUGAAGGCCUUAGGGUUGUAAAGCUCUUUCAGCUGGGAAGAUAAUGACGGUACCAGCAGAAGAAGCCCCGGCUAACUCCGUGCCAGCAGCCGCGGUAAUACGGAGGGGGCUAGCGUUGUUCGGAAUUACUGGGCGUAAAGCGCACGUAGGCGGAUUAGUCAGUCAGAGGUGAAAUCCCAGGGCUCAACCCUGGAACUGCCUUUGAUACUGCUAGUCUUGAGGUCGAGAGAGGUGAGUGGAAUUCCCGAGUGUAGAGGUGAAAUUCGUAGAUAUUCGGAGGAACACCAGUGGCGAAGGCGGCUCACUGGCUCGAUACUGACGCUGAGGUGCGAAAGCGUGGGGAGCAAAACAGGAUUAGAUACCCCUGGUAGUCCACGCCGUAAACGAUGAAUGCCAGUCGUCGGGUUGCAUGCAAUUCGGGUGACACACCUAACGGAUUAAAGCAUUCCGCCUGGGGGAGUUACGGUCGCAAGAUUAAAA